GAGCGCUGCUCUGUCUCCGUCUCGCUGUUCUGGCUUGGGAACAGCCUUCCUUUGCGCGCAGCCAUCCCCGAGCUAGAACAGCGAGACGGAGUGCUCCGCAGCGCUC